rnacentral:rRNA from 1 species
AAAUGGCUCAUUAAAACAGUUAUAGUUUAUUUGAUAAUGAAGCGCUACAUGGAUAACCGUGGUAAUUCUAGAGCUAAUACAUGCUGAUAGCCCGGCGCAAGUCGCGGUUGUAUUUAUUAGAUAUAAAACCAAUAUGUUAAAAGCAUUUUGAAGGAAUAAUAGUAACUGAUCGAACCUCUGUUUUACGGAGGUAAAUCAUUCAAGUUUCUGCCCUAUCAGCUUUCGAUGGUAGUGUAUUGGACUACCAUGGCGGUUACGGGUAACGGAGAAUUAGUGUUCGGUUCCGGAGAGGGAGCCUGAGAAACGGCUACCACAUCUAAGGAAGGCAGCAGGAGCGUAAAUUACCCAAUGUCGAUUCGAUGAGCGUAGUGACAAUACAUAACAAAGGGGAAACUCUUAGUUUACUCUAUUGCAAUGAGGCAUGUUUAAUAACCUGUUCGAGCAACAAGUGAAGGGCAAGUCUGGUGCCGGCAGCCGCGGUAAUUCCAGCUUCACGAGUGUAUAUUUAAGUUGUUGCAGUUAAAAAGCUCGUAGUUGAACUUCUGUUUGUUCAGGGAGUGGUUUUCUACUAACUGGACGAGCAUCCGCCUGAAAAGCCAUUCGGAUCUUUACUGAUUCAAUGGUGGAUUAGGCAUUUUACUUUGAAAAAAUUAGUGUGUUCAAAGCAGGCCUACGCCUGAAUACAUUAGCAUGGAAUAAUGGAAUAGGACGCUGUCCAUUUUGUUGGUUAUUGGGUGGCGUAAUGAUUAAUAGGGACAGUUGGGGGCAUUUGUAUUUAAUUGUCAGAGGUGAAAUUCUUGGAUUUAUUAAAGACAAACUUAUGCGAAAGCAUUUGCCAAGGAUGUUUUCAUUAAUCAAGAACGAAAGUUAGAGGAUCAAAGACGAUCAGAUACCGUCCUAGUUUUAACUAUAAACUAUGCCGACUCGGUCUUAGUCAAGUCUUCAAUACUUGAUUGGUGCCGUAUGAGAAAUCAAAGUCUUUGGGUUCCGGGGGGAGUAUGGUCGCAAGACUGAAACUUAGAGGAAUAGACGGAACAUUACACCAGGUGUGGAUCCUGUGGCUUAAUUUGACGCAACACGGGGAAACUUACCAGCGCAAAACAAGGGUGGGAUUGACAGAUUGAGAGCUCUUUCUUGAUUCUUUGGAUAGUGGUGCAUGGCCGUUCUUAGUUGGUGGAGUGAUUUGUCUGCUUAAUUGCGUUAACGAACGAGACC